rnacentral:rRNA from 1 species
CCUACGUGUGGCAGCAGUGAGGAAUAUUGGUCAAUGGGCGAGAGCCUGAACCAGCCAAGUCGCGUGAGGGAGUACUGCCCUAUGGGUUGUAAACCUCUGUUGUCGGGGAGCAAAAGCCGGACGUGUCCGGCUGUGAGAGUACCCGAAGAAAAAGCAUCGUCUAAAUACGUGCCAGCAGCCGCGGUAAUACGGAGGAUGCGAGCGUUAUCCGGAUUUAUUGGGUUUAAAGGGUGAGCAGUCGGAUUUUUAAGUAGGCGGUCAAAUCGAGGGGCUCAACCCCAUCCAGCCGGUGAAACUGGGGAUCUAGAGUGUGCGAGAGGUAUGCGGAAUGCGUGGUGUAGCGGUGAAAUGCAUAGAUAUCACGCAGAACCCCGAUUGCGAAGGCAGCAUACCGGUGCACAACUGACGCUCAGGCACGAAAGCGUGGGUAUCGAACAGGAUUAGAUACCCGGGUAGUC